AAAAAAAUCAAGACACACAAAAAAAAAAGAUUUCUCUUUUUGAAACAUAUCUAGGUUGAUAAAAACAUAAUCCCAAAAUAAAAACAUAAUCUUAAAGAAGUUCACACAAGAUGUUACGAAUUUAAAGAAACAGAAAAUAUGUCAUCAUAAAAUCAAACAUGAGGGAUAAUCAAACGAAUCAGAAGAUUGCAAUCUUCAGGCCAGCUCGAGCUCCGGUGAAACCUUGAUGAUUUGCUUUUGCUGCUUCCUCUUCACUCACCAGAAGAGGCAGCCACCAUCCACUAGUAGGGCAAAGAUGCCCAACAAGAUCAGGUAGAACUGUCUUGGUGGGAUCAGAUCCGUCAUAUUUGGUCCGCUCUCCAUCUAAAAUUUUUAUCUAGAUCUUAUUCUUAAUCUUUGUUCUAAGAAGCGUUUGAUUCAAUAAACAUACCUUGGUUGCGUCACAUAUGUCUUUCAGAGGAGUCAAGAAGCAGAGCACAAACUUCGAUUGGAAAUUGUUUCGUUGAGUUUUUUUUUAUGAAGUAGUGGUUUGUUUUGUUUUGAACUUUGAAGGGUAACUAACAGUCUAAUAAGUCUUAGUACUCUAACACUAAAUUAAUUAUACUUUAGAACACAAGUAAAGUAUAACUAACCGUCUAAUAAGUCUUAGUGCUCUAACAAUAAAUUUUCACAAUCCAUCUCUUGAUCUCUUCACGUCAUUCACCGGCCAGCUCGAGCUCCGGUGAAAUCAUGAUGAUUUGUUUUUGCUGCUAGCUUCCUCUUCACGUACCAAAAGAGCAUGAAGAGGAAGCAACCAACCACAAGUAGGGCAAAGAUGCCUAGCAAGAUCAGGUAGAACUGUCCUGGUGAGAUAUGAUCCGUAACAUUUGGUCCGUCCAUCUACAAAGACAUAUACAAAAAAAUUAAUAUUAGGCUAAUGGAUUACCCCUUUGAUAUUUAGGUGGGGGUAUUGGACGCAUGAAUUUGAUAUACUUUAAUAGAAUCUUAAAUUCUAGUGUUAUUCAAUUAGACAUUUCACAAAUUCUUUUAAAUUCUUGUGUUAUUUAACUUGCUCAUUUCUUAAUUCUAUUAAUUGCAAUUGUUAUUAACUUUUUCGGUAGUUUUGUGUGACAACGUUACUUCACAAGAAUUUAAUAGAAAAAUUUGUCUCAAAUGGUUUAUGCAUGGGUUCACACACAAGAGGUAUAGCGAUGGUAGGUGUUUUUGUUUCAAGUUCAUUUCGGUAAUCUUUUAAUUUUGCCUUUUUUUUUAAUUUACUUAUG
rnacentral:sRNA from 1 species